AACGAUUAUGGGUAUAUUUGUGGUUUCCACAAAAUUGCGGCAGUUUCCAUGAAUAAUUAUUAGAUUCCAAUGAAAAAUUCAUGAAUGACUGAGUCUGCAAACACCGAACCAUGACUUCGCAGGAGUAUACUGACUUUCAAGAUAUUAUCAUCAUUUCUUAGAAGAAAUCUUCAAACUGAGGAAAUACGACCAGUAAGCUCCAUUUUGCAUCAGUCAUUAAAAACUUGAGAAAAUGUUUCCCUUUAUCCUCUACAGCAUGACAAAUUGAAAUG
rnacentral:lncRNA from 1 species